GGGGCUAUAGCUCAGUUGGCAGAGCGCUUCCAUGGCAUGGAAGAGGCCAAGGGUUCAAUUCCCUUUAGCUCCA
rnacentral:tRNA from 1 species